rnacentral:lncRNA from 1 species
GAAGAUGACCAUGUCCCCCAUGAGCCACAAGGGAGCCUCCUCCUGUGGGGUGCUUCUGAAACCAUGCCUGGCGGCCCAUUGAAGAUGUGCAGAUUUUAUCUAUUAUUAGCGUGUGAGUCCACCCACAUGCAAAUAUGCGCACCUGGGAGCACUGUGGUCCGUAUUUGGCAGGCUGAGGACAACUGCUGCGAAGUUCUCAACCCUCAGUACAGAAUUCAGGGACGUGGACCCACGUCGUCAGCCGGCUCCACAGGCUGUUGGACGAUCACGGUUCUCGGCCAUCUCCACACGCUGCCUUGCCAUCAUGGUUCUCGGUCAUCUCCACACGCUAUCUGGCAAUCACGGUUCUCAGCCAUC